AUGGGUGACUAGUGGCAGAGUGAGGGAGGGAAGGGGUGACUAGUGACAGAGUGAGGGGAUGACUGGUGACAGAGUGAGGGGGGGGUGACUGUCACUAGUCACCCCAUCCCUCUCUCUGUCACUAGUUACUCCCUCCCUAACUCUGUCACUGUGUCACCCGCUCCCUCCCUCUGUCACUAGUCACCCCCUCUCUCCCUAGUCACCCCCUUCCUCACUCUGUCACUAGUCACCCCAU